CCUACGGGAGGCAGCAGUGGGGAAUUUUUCGCAAUGGGGGCAACCCUGACGAAGCAAUGCCGCGUGGAUGAAGAAGGCCUUCCCCUUGUAAAGUCCUUUCGUGGGGGACGAAAAGGUGGUUCCUAAUACGAGCUGCUGUUGACGUGAACCCUUGAAGAAGCACCGGCUAACUCCGUGCCAGCAGCCGCGGUAAU
rnacentral:rRNA from 1 species